rnacentral:misc_RNA from 1 species
GAUGAAGAACGUAGCGAAAUGCGAUAAGUAGUGUGAAUUGCAGAAUUCAGUGAAUCAUCGAAUCUUUGAACGCACAUUGCGCCCCUUGGUAUUCCAUGGGGCAUGCCUGUUCGAGCGUCAUUUGUACUCUCAAGCCUUGCUUGGUGUUGGGUGAUUGUCUUUGCUAUGCCUAGACUCGCCUUAAAUUUAUUGGCAGCCGAUAUGUUGGUUUGAAGCGCAGCACAAUUUGCGGUUUGAGCUUACUAUGUUAGCAACCAUGAAGCCCUUUUUAACACUUUUGACCUCGGAUCAGGUAGGGAUACCCGCUGAACUUAAGCAUAUCAAUAAGCGGGAGGA